UGGGGAAUAUUGCACAAUGGGCGCAAGCCUGAUGCAGCAACGCCGCGUGAAGGAUGAAGGUUUUCGGAUCGUAAACUUCUAUCGACAGGGACGAAACAAAUGACGGUACCUGCAUAAGAAGCCCCGGCUAACUACGUGCCAGCAGCCGCGGUAAUACGUAGGGGGCAAGCGUUAUCCGGAAUUACUGGGUGUAAAGGGUGAGUAGGCGGCCCGUAAAGUCAUGUGUGAAAGCCCGCGGCUCAACCGCGGGACUGCACAAGAAACUUAUGGGCUAGAGUACAGGAGAGGUAAGCGGAAUUCCUAGUGUAGCGGUGAAAUGCGUAGAUAUUAGGAAGAACACCAGUGGCGAAGGCGGCUUACUGGACUGAAACUGACGCUGAGUCACGAAAGCGUGGGGAGCGAACA
rnacentral:rRNA from 1 species